GGGUCUCUGGCGGAAUUGGUAGACGCGCCACACUCAAAAUGUGGUUGGGCAACCAGUCCCGGUUCGACUCCGGGGAGGCCCA
rnacentral:tRNA from 1 species